AUUGAACGCUGGCGGCAUGCCUUACACAUGCAAGCCGAACGGUAACAGGUUAAGCUGACGAGUGGCGAACGGGUGAGUAAUGUAUCGGAACGUGCCCAGUCGUGGGGGAUAACUACUCGAAAGAGUGGCUAAUACCGCAUACGACCUGAGGGUGAAAGCGGGGGACCGUAAGGCCUCGCGCGAUUGGAGCGGCCGAUAUCAGAUUAGCUAGUUGGUGGGGUAAAAGCCCACCAAGGCGACGAUCUGUAGCUGGUCUGAGAGGACGACCAGCCACACUGGGACUGAGACACGGCCCAGACUCCUACGGGAGGCAGCAGUGGGAAUUUUGGACAAUGGACGCAAGUCUGAUCCAGCCAUGCCGCGUGCGGGAAGAAGGCCUUCGGGUGUAAACCGCUUUGUCAGGGAAGAAACGGGUUUACGUCUAAUACAGAGACCUAAU
rnacentral:rRNA from 1 species